rnacentral:lncRNA from 1 species
CUUUUCUUCUUUGUGGUCGUAUAUUCCCACAUAGUUUGUUUGUUUUGCAUGCAUACAUCUGCAUCAUGAGGUCUCUUAGGGACCAAAAUUUGUCUCUUUGCUAUUAUUUAAGCCCAUUCUAUCUCGUCGAGACGAAGAUUUUAACCUUCACUUCUCCGGAUAGAAUGACCUUAAAUAGGGGCAUCUGUAAGACCCCAAUUUUGUCCCUAAGAUCCCUCAUGGCAUCAUAGCAUAUCAUUGCAUAGCCUCAAGGAUCAUUAAGCAUCUUGCUUCCUUUACCUUUGGUUGGGAUCUCUUUGUGAGUGAUUUUUGAUCACCAAGCAUGCUUGCAUUGUACAUCAUUGCUUUUCUUGUUUUAAUCACUAACCAAAAGCACCAAAAAUAUGUCACCUAACAUUUGUUUUGCAGUCUAAGCAAGCACAGGUCAGGCACUUCAAUAGCAUCUUUUGUGCAAGAGAUGAGAUAUUUUCCUUGGUAUGAGGACCACAUGAUCAUUACAAGAGCUUAUAUGAGCUAGGGUUGCAUUGUGAAGCAAAUUUACCAAGUGGUAGAGGCCCAAAUCCAUCAGACAUGUCAAGGUCAUUUGAAGACCUAUAUAAUCAACUGUACAGUCAAUUGAGGACUAUGAGGUGUGGAAAAUGAUUUGAGACAUCCCAUUCAUGUUCAAAACAAGGCCUAUUCAUCAUGUCAAACAUCUACCUUGAAGAUUUUGAAGUCAUUGCAAAAGUUUCCAAAAAUUGAAAGUGACCUGUAAUUUCAAGUUUCCAAAAAUGGCAAGUUUUUGGUCCACAUUCAACUUGACUUUCCAACAUCAAAUAAGCUUCAAAUGGAUUUUGGGUGAAGAUGAAAGUUGAAGAUCUUUUUCUCCUCUUUUCAAAAAGUCCUAUAUCAUGUCCAUCUGAUAAUUGGUUGAGAAGUUAUGAACAAAUGAUCACAAAGUAUGCAUGGAAGUUCAAAAUGCCAUAACUUUUGAUCCAAAACUCCAAAUUGGACCACUCUUUUUGCAAAAUGCUCCUUGUGACCAAUACUUUCCAAAUCAUUCAUUGCCUUGCAUGAAAGAAGCUCACAUGAUCAAGUGUCCAUACAUGUGCAUUUUGGAGGGAAAUUGAAUAAUUUGAAUUUGGUGGAUCAUGCAAGCCUAAUACCAAUCCAAUGUUGCUUAUUGNACCACAUGAUCAUUACAAGAGGUUAUAUGAUCUAGGGUUGCAUUGUGAAGCAAAUUUACCAAGUGGUAGAGGCCCAAAUCCACCAGACAUGUCAAGGUCAUCUGAAGACCUAUAUAAUCAACUGUACAGUCAAUUGAGGACUAUGAGGUGUGGAAAAUGAUUUGAGACAUCCCAUUCAUGUUCAAAACAAGGCCUAUUCAUCAUGUCAAACAUCUACCUUGAAGAUUUUGAAGUCAUUGCAAAAGUUUCCAAAAAUUGAAAGUGACCUGUAAUUUCAAGUUUCCAAAAAUGGCAAGUUUUUGGUCCACAUUCAACUUGACUUUCCAACAUCAAAUAAGCUUCAAAUGGAUUUUGGGUGAAGAUGAAAGUUGAAGAUCUUUUUCUCCUCUUUUCAAAAAGUCCUAUAUCAUGUCCAUCUGAUAAUUGGUUGAGAAGUUAUGAACAAAUGAUCACAAAGUAUGCAUGGAAGUUCAAAAUGCCAUAACUUUUGAUCCAAAACUCCAAAUUGGACCACUCUUUUUGCAAAAUGCUCCUUGUGACCAAUACUUUCCAAAUCAUUCAUUGCCUUGCAUGAAAGAAGCUCACAUGAUCAAGUGUCCAUACAUGUGCAUUUUGGAGGGAAAUUGAAUAAUUUGAAUUUGGUGGAUCAUGCAAGCCUAAUACCAAUCCAAUGUUGCUUAUUGACUGAUUUUAAGUGGAAUUGAAGCUUAGCAUGGCACUGUUCACAUGCAUAUUGCUCAUGCUAAGCACACUUGCCAAAUUUGCAUUACACCUUACAUCUCCUUAAUUUCAAUUAACCAAUGCUUAAUUAUGAUUACAGCAUGAUUAGUGACUCAUAUAAAUACUAAAUCCUAACUGUUUUUGAGAGGGAACACAAUUUCAGAUCUGAAAAUACACAUUCCCUCCAUUUUUUUCUCUCACUUCGAAUUUCAAAAUUCUUCACACAAACACCAAUUUUCUUUGCAUAUUCUUGCUUAUCAUGCAUCAUUGAGUAGGAAUCCACGUUUGGUUUGAAGAAUUUGAUCAAGAAUCAAGCAGAUCGAGCACAAACUCAUGGCUAUGGUUUUCUGCAAUUGAGCUUCAUUCAGGUGGAUUCAAGUGUCAAUUCUUGCAUAAAGCUUCAUUAGAGGAUUGAGGAAGAAGAUCUGGAGCUGGAGGAAGCUUGAUCACACGAAUUCGAUCACUGCAAGUUCCAAGUAAGUGAAAUUCAAUCAUCUCGUUUUGCUGUUUCAUGUACAUAAACCUGUAGAUCUUUUGAUGCUGAUGAUUCUGAUAGCUUUAGAUUUUGAUUUGGUUAAGUAUUGAGAUAGAUAUGUUGAUUUAAAGUUUGGUUGUUCAAAAUGUUUUCGCUCGAUCCGGUUGAUUCAUGAGGUUUUAGGACUAAUGAACAUGAUAUUCGUGAUCCUCAUAGAAAGACCUUUCCAAUGAUAUAAGAUACGUUAAUUUCUGGAAAUUUUCUUCAUGGAUCUUCGCCUGUACCACCGGAGAAGACGGUUGAAACCGCCGUCCUCCGCCGUCUGUAAAUUGACCUAGGGUUUGCGUGCGUGGCAUCUGACUGUGUGCGUGCUUGGCUGUUUGGUUGGCCUUCGUUCGUCUGACCUUUACCACCGGAGAAGACGGUUGAAACCGCCGUCCUCCGCCGUCUGUAAAUUGACCUAGGGUUUGCGUGCGUGGCAUCUGACUGUGUGCGUGCUUGGCUGUUUGGUUGGCCUUCGUUCGUCUGACCUUGCCUGCGUGUGCUUGGCCACACUGAGUUGGCUCCCACGCGUUUAAUGAAACGCAGCGCUUCAUGCGCUCUUGAGCCUGGCUUUGCAUGUGUUCGAUUCUCCACUGGCGCAUGUUUUCUGAUUUUUACUUGAGCGCGCCUUGAACCAUCCACACCUGAGUUGGAAACCUGGCGCAAGCAUUUUGUAAAUUCCAAUUUGAUUUUUUCAUUUACCAGGCGCGCAUGGGUUCGAAUCCUGGCAUAUGCAUAUUACAAUUUCAUUCAAACUUUAUUUUCCACAUUAUUUCACUUUAUUUCAUUUUAUUCAUUCAACUUCAAAAAAUCAUUAAAAAUAGUAGAUUAAUCCAAAUGUUUUUUCACAUUCUUUUUUUAAUCUCUAGAUUUUUAUAGCAUUUAUCUCAUGACUUUUGUGUUUCUGGAUUUUUAAUUGUGAUUGUUUGUUUGAACAUGAUGCCAUAUUGAUAUGCUACAUUCAUUUGCUUGUGAAAUGCUCAUAGUUGAUCCAAUUGAUUUGAAAUUUUGCAUGCUUGAUCUUAACAUGUGACAUGAUUUUUGAGCUUUGGUUUGAGAUUUUUAUCAUAUGCCAUCACUGUUUUGGACACAUGAACAUAUGUUGUGACAUUUUGUGUAACCUUUUGCGCCUUGCAUUUGUGCAUUUUCAUUCAUACACCAUUUGAGCUCUUCUGGAUUUAAUUUUUGGUAUGAUGCUUGUUCAUAACAUGUUAAACUCACAUAAAAAAUUUCGUGAUCAUUGGAUGUGUUUCUGUUUUGAUUUGGAUUUUUCUAAUUUGAUUGUCCAUUUUGUGCUCACAUUGUUUGCCUUUGCAUAGCAUGAUCCAUUUGAUACCUUUACAUUGUGAAUUGAUCUUGGUCCUUUUGAGGACCUUUUCUUAAUUGAUUGAACUUGCUUUGUGCAAAAGAUUGACUUCUGUUUUGAUCAUUUGAUGUGGUUUUGAACCUAUUCUUUGCACUAGUUAUUUGUACACAUACUAAUUGUGCUUUGUGUUUCAGGUUUGAGCAUUUAGCUUUGAUGAUUGGUGUGGUCUCAUUAUUUGAGAUGAAAGAUGCCUUUGAUUACUAACCCUUGUUGUGUUGUAGGUCAAUUGAUGUGAUGAACUCAUUUGAGUGCUUGCACUUGUGCCUUACAUUAUGUAUACUGUUGGAUGUUUCCACUGUUGUCUGUUGGUUUUCUGAAUACCAUAUUAACUGUUUGGCUUUUGUACAGGUACAUUAGUUGCUAGCUAGCUUUUGCUUAGCCUUUGCCUUGGAGUGUGGUUGAUACACCACUGAGGUAGCUUAGCCUUCUUUCUCCAUGUAGUCUGGAAGUCCUGCCACCUUUUUGGCAGGCAUUUGGCUGAAGUCCUCCUUAUGAGGCUCUGAUUGUGAUUGUUUACAUUUGUGCCAAAGACCUCCAAGUGAGGCAUGUUACUUGAUAAGUCCUCCUAAGUGAAGAGGCAAUUGACAGAUAGAAGGGAUUAGCAAUCAAUCCAGGUUUGAAACCAUCGAAUGGGAAAAACCACUGUGACGAAACACCAGCCAGAGAACAGAAAAAUAGUCACUAAGAACAUAUAAACGUUCGACGUGUCUAAUGUGAUGAGAUCUAUCAUUGGUAAAAGACGGACAUAAUUCAUGUCACAAAACCAUCGAUGUGUCUUUCAGGAUUGUGCAGAAGCUCUGAAAGAAGGAAGGUUACCAGUUGGUAGGCAACAGGUGGCAAAAUCGGUGGAUCGCCUUUGAAUAAGUAAGAACAAUGUAUAUCUGGACUCUAGAGCUGCCUGAUGGUGAGAACGACUGUGUGACUCAUUGCAGUUCUCAAAAGCAACUCAUUAACUGAAUCAUAGUGAACGUAUAUGAUGGUCGAAACUAUAGAAGGUUUCAAUCAAGAUAAAGAAAUGGAGGCUCGAGUCGGCCUAUCCCCAGCCUGGAGAAGUUGUAGACAUUCUAGGAAAAGUGCAAGGAGAUAGACCAAAGGCACAUUUGAUGCCCGAAGCAGCAGUGAAUGUGAACGAGAAACCGCGAAGACUGGAGGCGAUAACAACGUCGAGAAGAGAAAUUUUUGUUUGCCACGAAUUCCUGUUUGAAGCACAGGAGCACCUCGCAGCAGAACGAAGAAGUACAAGAAACAAUUUCAACGUCACUCCCGAAACAUUAAUUGCCUCCAACUGAUGUGCCACAAAGAAGUGAUAGAACUGGUCAACAGAAGGGGCAAGAACCGCAAAAUGGAGGGCGUUGGAAAAACAAUGAGAAGCCAACGUCUCCAAAGAAGAGAGAUGGACACUAAAUCUCUAAAUCAAAGAAAUAAUCUUAUGACUAGGACACAGUGGAGACACCACCAGCGAAACAAAAAAGCUGGGAAAGUUGUUACCACCCACAGUCAAAGACUUCGGAGACUGCUGGGCAAAAGGAACAAAUGUCAAAGACAGGGACUUGCAAAAAUGGUGGCCAACCAGACAGUGGCCAUGACCGCCGACUCGAGGAAAGAAGCAAUGAUAGCUACUCAGAACGUCGGAUAUGUUCGUUAGAAGUCGAGGAGCAGCGCACGAAGCAAAGAAAAAUUGAAGAGGAGGAGAGCCGGAUAUUCUCCCCAACAUGGUCCUUUUCAAAUAUGAAGGAAAACCAUCAAUAUAUGGGGUGUAGGCGCUUGGUAGGAACCACAACAUGUUCAACACUAUUUAUGGUAACAGAUUCAAAAGCCAACUUCAACUUACUCCUGGUCGAGAAUCGCCAUGAGAUAGGGGUUGUUCCCAACGGUCCACAACAAACGCUUAUAUCUGUAGAAAAGACGCAUCAUAGAGAAUAUUGAAGUCGACCAAAGCUAUUAGCGGGUCGAUGACAGGGGUCAAGAGGUUCGUUGACCAACAUUGGUGAACAUAGCGCCAUUGAUGACGAAUCAUGAUCCUAUAUCCUCAAUACUCGUCAGUAUCUGACUUGGACCCUGAUCAUGGUUUCAUUGGGAUAACGAGGAGACACAUGAUCAGAGACAGAAUUCACCACGGUGGCCAUCAGUCGACAAGACUGUUGAGUCAAAAGCCUGACUCGAAUUUGGCAUAUUUGGCUUAAAACAAGAGGAAGUCAAUUCUAGAAAGGAAGAGACUCCAUAAUUUGGCGCGUGAGGCCAAAGUCUAGAUGAUGGUCGACUAGAUAUGACAACAGCUUCAGAAAGAUGGAGGCUUAAUUGUCUAUGACAAUAAGCCUUUGGGUGAAAAGAACUAAAAUGAGUCCCAGAAGAUGCACAGCGCAAGAUCCCCUCGAAAGAUCGACCUGGGAAAUGGACACAAAAAGACCAACCCAACAUAAGUACUAAGGUGGGGUCAUAAAUGAAGGAAAAUCUAGUCGAGUUAUUGACUGAUACAAGGAUUGCUUUGCCUUGGAUUAUGACAAAAUGCCAGGUUGGAUCGAAGCAUAGUAGAACACGACUGCCUAUCUAACCUGGGAAGAACCGUGAAGCAACACCCUCAAAGAUUAGCUCUGAAUGUUACUUCAAAGAUCAAGCAAGAAUUGAAAGACUCCUAAAAGUCGCUUCAUCAGAACGACAAGUUACGUCGAAUGGUUGGCCAACAUAGUUCCUGUCAUCAAGAAAGGAACUCUUAGGAUUUGUAUAGAUUUCAGAGAUCUAAACAACACGCGCCAAAGGAGAAUAUUCGAUGCCGGUGGCGGAAAUGUUGGUCAAUCGGCCGCAGGUUUGAGUAUCUGAGCCUACUUGAUGGAUACUCCAACUACAAUCAGAUUCUCAUUGCCGAAGAAGAUGUCCCCAAGACAGCGUUUCGAUGCCUGGUGUGCUGGGGCAAUAUAGUGGGUUGUCAUGCCGUUUGGUUUAAAAAACGCAGGAGAAACUUACCAAAGGGCCAGAAUGCCAUCUUCAUGACUUCAUUGAGAAGUUCAUGCAGGUUAUCGACAAUAUCAUGGUGAAAUCAUCAUCUCAAGAAGGAACCAGAAUCACCUUUGACGCUCGUUUUGAUAGAUAAGGAAAUAGGUUGAAAAUGAAUCAAUUGAAGUGUGGCUUUUGGGUACCGCAGGUGACUUCCUGCGAUUUGUGGUACAUAACGAGUAUAGAGAUCAAUAGAAAACAAGCGAAGGCGAUCUUAGACCUCAAAAUCCAUCUACAAGAACAACUUCAGCUUGUUGGGGAAAUAAACUUCCUAAGAAGUUCAUCUCGAACCUAAGUGGUAAAACAAAGGUGUUUUCGCCACUCACAAAAUUAAGAAGGAAAGUGAUUUCACUGGCGCCCUGAACAACAGGAGGCUUUCGACACGAUCAAUGGGUAUCUUACCAAGCCUCAAUCCUGUUGCCCUCCAGUAAAAUAAAGUAUGAGUUUAUAUAUUAUAUUUGAUACAAUAUAGGGAGCAUGUUAGCCCAAGAGGAUAAUGGUGUCGAAAGUCAUAUAUUACCAGUAGAAGUUGGUAGAUGCUGAACUAGGCACAGUCUCAUAGAAAAACUAUGUAUGUGUUUGUACUUUUCCUGUAUGAAUUAAAAUAGUAUAUUAAACUAGUUGAUGUUUAUGUUCAUCUCAUUACGAUAUUAUUAAACUAUGUUGUCUAAGCUUAUUCUACAUAGUAGAAUUGGGAAAUGAACAUCUGGCGUUGCAACGUUCUCUAACUUUCAGCCUUAAAAGCCAUGAAAGCCAGAUCGUGGCGGAUUUUAUAUGGGUCAUGGCAUGGUAGAUCAUCCCUGAAUGUGGUCACCAACCAUGGCAUCUAUAUUUCGAUGAUCGAGUCACAAAGCGAAACAGAGUCGGGGUUGAUAUUAUCCCUCAGUAAGGUCCGACGAAGUUCAAGUAUAAGAUCAAUGAGAAGUCGUUCCACAACGAGCAGAAUAGUCGCCUUCAGCUUUUGAAAGAGUUGGGAGCCAGUGAAACAAAGUGAGGGAGACUCAGAGUUAGAUAAUUAAGCAAGUCACGCACGAUAUAAGUGCAUCAAGGGAGUCUGCUAAAAUACUUUGUGACUGCAAUGUGUUACUAGAACAUUUGAGUUACGACCAUAAGACAUGUGCCCAGAAGUGAGAACCAAGAGGCCAACGACUGGCCCAAGUCGCUUCAGGUAUACGAUCUAAGAUGAAGUUACAAGAUAUGAUCGAGGCUCAAGGAAAAUGAUGUUAAGCAUGCCCCAACAGAAGACGUCCUCGACGAGAGACGUCCAGUCGUGUGGGGGAGCCCGAUGAAGAGUGUCAAAAACCCGUGAAUCGAGGCAUGGAACUAAAGUUUUUCUAUCACAGUUCAUCACCGACAGAUUGGAGAAAGUCAAUCAUCGACUACUGGAGAAUCCAGCGGAAGUACGACAGAAAACCAAUAUAGGGCUUUGAGCUACGUUGUGGUUAGGAACGGAUUGCUAAAGAAGAGACACAUAAGGUUACUACUCAAUGCCUGGGAACUACGAAGUGUAUUGAUCCAUCUACGAAGUACACAGUGGGCCUAUGGCGCCUACACAGGCAGACCAAAGAUGAAAUGUUAUUGUCUGACAAGGUUUACUGGCCAGCAUGUUGAAAGAUGCAUCGAGUUUGCCAAAGGAUGUCAGGAAUGUCAAAAGCACCGGGGAUCCAACAUAUGUAGACAAGUGAGUUGCAUGUUAUUAUCAAACAUGGCCUUUUAGGGGGUGGCCUUAGACAUCAUUGGAAAAUUCGACCGCUUCGUCGAAGCAACAGAAGUUUAUCCUAGUCGGGAUGACUACUUCACCAAAUGGUCAAAGCUAUACCUCUGGUAAGGUGACCAGGUGGCGGUGAUCGAAUUAAUACAGAGACAUUUUGUGUAUAGGUUGGAUCGAAGGCGGUCUUAGACCUCAAAAGCCCACUACAAAGAAUAUCUCUCGCUUUGUUGGGAAAAUAAACUUCCUAAGAAGGUUCAUCUCGAACCUAAUGGUAAAAAACAAGGUGUUUUCACCACAUACUUAAAAGUAGAAGACCUGAAUAUUCCCUCAGUUUGAUGAGGAAUUCGAAGAGACCGCCAAGUUAAGGGAUUGGGGUGUUGGCGAGGAUUUCAGCUUCAGGGUGCCCGCCCCAGGGCCUGGUACAGAGAUGCUAGCAAAAGUUGCCCAAGAUUUUGUCGACCCUCAUGUAUCUGGACGCCAGGGCAAUAUAACUCUUGGCUAUCUGCAGGGAUCCAGGACAGAGGACAUAAUAGGAAGAGCCACAGGGUGAAAAAAGUUAUGUGCUCUUGUCAGACUACUUCGACAGUGUUUUUUUAUGAUGGUCUUCGAUAUAUUCUUGAGGCUGACCGACCAACGGAAGGUAUUUCGUCUAAAUUGGGUCGAAAGUCUCUCCAAGGUGAGAGGCCGGUAUGUCGCCACGCUCGAAGAGAGUGGGUUUAGCAUCCCACAUGGUAGCUGGAAGUGUUGGUCGAACCCCAAAGUAAUGGGACGCCAACAACAUGCGGGGGUUAACGUGAUGAGCAGACCUCGAGACCUGAAUAAGGUCGAAAUCCUACACUCCUCCACUGGUCUUGACGCUUGCGCUGGACCUUGUUGAGCCAAGCCAAGUACUCCUUGUUGCCAGAGUGGCAGGAGAGAAAAACUCUAACUUUGCCUCCAUGAAUCUAACAUCAAGGGAGACAAAUCUGUUGAAGGCAGGAGGCAUAGCGGGUUUACCCGAGAAGAGGUGCAGCCUUGUUGGGGAAAUUUACAUCAACAAGGGACCAUGAAAGCCAACAGUUUUUUGUCCACCACGAACGGGAUCACCAACUGGUUUUGCCAAUUCUUGAGAGUUCUUCAUUAGAUGAUGAAGGUUGAGAUACUUUCAUCCCUCUUUAGCAGUAAGCUUGAAGGCGAUAGGGUUAUGGUCAUACCAUAAGAGACAGUGUCUUUCGCAAGAGUUGAGGAAGCCAUGGGAAGAAAUCAGAGUUUGAGGUUUCGGAAAUGAUGUGUAAGAAAGCGCAAUGUCGACAUUCCUAACAUUUGUGUAUGGGAGUCGUGUAACUGGCAUAUGUUACCCAUAGUUCCCAUGGUUUGUACGGUGUCGGUGUUGGCUGACACGGCGUCAGAAUUGGUAUAACAACGUUGCUGAAACCGUGAGCCAUACAAGCCAGUGUCAGCGGCCUAGCGCGUCGCUGUCUCCCCGCGAAGAUGUUCUUCGUGGGUCUAGGAGACUCAUUUUCCACUGCACAAUCGCAUAUAUUAACAUCUGAAGUCCAAGGGUGGAACGAAGCGCCCGUGGUAUUCGUAACUAUAACCAGAUCCGACCAGGUGGUUCGACCUCUGUACUCUCUUCCGCGAGGUGCUAUGUGCCUAUCGAACACGAAUCGUGGACAUCAGCUUUCCUCCUUCUCGACUUGUUAUCGGCCUCCAAUCUUUUGGAGGUUUCUCGUCGAAUAUCACGCUACACUUCGGGCAUAAAGAGCUCUGAUCCUUCCCUUGCACUUCCCUGGAAGUCAGGCAAACUUUCGCCAGCUGAGAGCCGACUCGGGCCUCCUUUCGUCUUUGACUCUGAACCUUUAGUAGUUUCGACAAUCAUUACUUCACAUGAUUCAGCUAACGAGUUGCUUUGAACCUCAAUGAGACCAUUAGUGGUCUCCACCAUCAUGCACUCUAAGGCUCAUCAUACAGUGCUCUUCCAUCUUCAAAGGGUCAGACACCUGCACCUUUGGCCUUUCGCCAAACUAGAGCUCUUUCAGAGCUUUGUUCUGCAGCAAAUCUGAAAAGAACACAUUGGUGAGUUUGUGACCAAGGACAUUAUGAAAUUACAAAACCAUUUUUUUCUUUUUCUCUAGGGGAGGGUCUUUAAACCCGAGGGCAUAAUUGUCUGUCUUUACCAUAGAUCAAAGAUCUCGUCACAUUUAAACACGUCGAACGUAUAUGUCUUAGUGACGUAUUGUCUGUUCUCUCUGGUUCGACAGGGUUUUCCAUUCGAUGGUUCAAACCUUGCACGAUAUAUGGAGGUCCGAGCUUAAUUUCCGCCAUGUUGACUCACUCAUGUCGACUAUAUCUCGUCGUCCGAAGACCCUCCUUCGACUGCGAUGUGGGACACUUUCUCUUUUUCUGAUAUCAACUCCGCCUUAGACUUUUUGGCUUUCAAGCGUAUCGAUACGUCCGAACCCUAUUGCCAAUUGGGUCAUAUCCCUAAGAUACAGUGUCCAGCUUCUUCCUUAUAGAAAUAUCUAGACCUCAGCCUCCAUUCGAAUAGUUCGUGUUCAUGGACUUGAGUAAAAGCACGUGCCUCAAUAGUCUGAACCUGUUCAGUACUGAUCAAUUGACUCAACGACCUUCUCUAACGCUACUAGUCUCUUAAGGAUCACCUUUGAUUGUCCAUGUACUUGUUCAUGGAACAACCGUUCCAAUUAGUCCAUGUUUGGAUGACUGGGAUAGUGUGUCAACCCGGUAAGACAUUUUCGUAGGACUGAGAAGUAUUUAACUUCAAGUCCUGUUGUUUUCUAUGUCACCAGCCUCGUCUGGUACUUCGCCACAUGUUCGACGAUGGAUUCUUAGUAUCCCCCGCAAACUUAGUAAAUUUAGGGACUUUCCAACCCCUGGUUUUUUGUCUGUAAGACAAAAUCUGGGAAGAGGUGAGGAGUAUGUCGAUCGUGGAGACAAGGAUUACUCGUUUUGCACUAUGAUUCAUUUGACGAUAGCCUCUAGUUUGUUCCCUAUGGUUGCGUCGUGUCGAACUUGUCAAACCACCUGUCGGAUCCUGGUUACGGUAACCAGUAUCACAGGGGGGCCUUCGUCCACCCUUGGGAUGUGUCAAACUCCUGUAUUCUUGUAGACAAUAUCAUUUGUCAUCUCCUCUUGUCGAACUGGAGUCUCUGGUCGAGAGGAGGCGUGGGAUUUUGAGCACUUGAGCCUUUGGAGCUCCUAAAAAGUCUCAAUCCUGGUCAUUUGAGUCGUCAACUGUUGAUAGCUCUGCAUCAAAUUCUGGAUCAAGGGCCUAAAAUAACGCCAUUUGCUGAGUUAGCAUAUGUACAUUCUUUCAUGGUACUUUCCAUUUGUUGUCUCAUAACGACAACGGAGCUUGAUGUCAACGUUGGGCUGAUUGAGACGUCAAUCCGAACCCUAGGGUUGACUAAAUGGGGUUGCCAAAGGUCCAAACCAUGAUAACGAGGGAUGGAGAUGGACGAGGUAUCAGUGUAAGUCGAGCCAGGUUAUGCAUGUUGCCAAAACUUUGUCGAUAUCCCAAUGUUCUGUGUAUGAUAGUGUGUAACUGGGCAUAUGUUGCCCCAUAGUUCCCAAUGUUGUCGGUGUCAGUGUUGUGUGCUGACACGGUGUCAGAAUUGGUCCUACAAAUGAUGUUGAAAUCGUCGAAGCCAUACUAGAGCCCGGUGCCAGCCUGGGGUGUCGUGUGUCUCCCGCCAGACGUUCUUCGUGGGUCUAGGAGACGUCAUUUUUCCACUAUGCAAUCGGGUUUGAUAUAUCCCCUCAGGUAGGUCCGACGAAGUUAAGUUAUGAAUUAUAAGAAGUGUUCCAAACAACAAAUCCGAAUACGAACCUCUAAUAGUUGGCCUUCAGCUUUUGAAAGUUGGAGCCAGUCGAAUCGAAGUGAGGAGACUCGAAAUUGAUGAUAAAGCAAGUCACAUGCGAAUAUAGCAUCAAGGGAGUAUGUUGAAUAACUUUUUGACUGCAACACGAUUACUAGGAACUUGAAGUAACAAACAUAAGACAUGUGACUGUAGCGGUGUAUUCGUUACCAUUGAAGAAUUGACAAAUCCAAGGUAAAUCAUACAAAGUCGAGUCGCCACCGCACUUCAUUUAUCCAAAGGAAAGUAUAGAACAAACAAAAACGAAAAGUUUUAUCAAAUCAAAAACAUAAAAAUGUCAGAGCUGGUAGGGGGUUGGUUGUCAUGGGAAGUGUAGACACCACAACAUCCUAGGUACCCUAGGGAGCCUUUUCACAACUUGUUGCAAAGGUUAUUGUUAUGAAAUUUAUUGUGCAAACAUGAUGAAGAGAUGAGAAAGAAUGUACAAGUUUAUUACAUUUUUGUGUUUGAGGAUGAACCCAUUGCCGUACGUCCUUCAUAAAGAAUAGGAUCAAAACCUCGUAGUUCGGCUAAAAAGAUUUCGAAAACAAAUGAGGGUUGAUUGGUCAAAGCCUAAGGCUUUGUUAUCAAAGGGAGAAAACUCGACCUGAAAAACCACAGUCCACCAUGUGAGAAGCUUCGGCAUGCUAGUGAGGGGUUAACCUAUAAUAAGCAUGGAAGUACAAUCAAUCACUAAGGAUAGAGGUGAGUAUUAAUCUACCAACAAGAUACAUCAAACCUAAUAGCAAAGGUUAUGAAAGAUUUGAUUAAGAACAUGGUCAUUGAAACCACAAAAGAAGCAUUUGAAUGGGUUGAAUUAACCAAUUAGAGUAUUCACAAAAUGAGGUCAAAGUAUGAAUAGAGUUCAUUUACAAUGAGUAUGAAAAAAGAAGUUGAAAAUCAAAAGCCUAGGGCUUAGGUUUCUAGUUUUUGAAAACAAGUCAAAUGUUUGCACAAAUUUUUGGUUUGGGUGAAAGAUGAAAUGAAAGAGGUAAGGUGAUGGUUAGGGAUAAACCAACACAGGAGUUCUUUCUCGAGAUCAUAGAGAUGAUCCAAGUAAGUUCCUUUGGAAUAAGGCAAAAGCAAAAAGUAAACAGUAAGUCACAAGAGAACACAAUAAAAGGAAAUAAGCUGCCAUAAAUGGACUUACACCAACUCCAAGGAAACAGAAGCCAAUAAUGGACUUACAUCCAAUCCAAACAACAAACGGAACAAAUGCCAUAUAUAGCACUUAGAUUUAACUCAAAACAAAUAAACAGGAACAUAAGCCAAUAAAUGGACUUACAUCUAAACCUUAAAACAAACAUGCAAAUGCAAACACAUGAAAGGUUCACAAAUAAGCAAACAGCACACACUAUAGUACAGACAAGGUGCUCAAGCAAAGGGCGAGCUUAGUCAAGUGGGUCAUAUCAACCUCGACAAACAAGCCAAAUUGUUCAAAGGUAUUUGUAGCUCUAACCACAACAUUGAGAUUAGGGUGAAGCUGAUAAAUAUGGAAAUGAGGAUGAGACCUCAUGCUCUUAACCCUGGCCUGGGUGAGCUUAAGAUAAUGAAAGGGUGGGAUCCAGAAUGAGGACCCUAUCCACUUUGACUGACUCACUAUAACCAGAGAUCACUUGAGGUGUUUAUCAACUAUCAGCACUAGUGCGAGCAUAAUAGAAGACUCACUGAUGCAGGCGGAUANNNNNNNNNNNNNNNNNNNNNNNNNAAUUGUUCAAGGUAUUUGUAGCUCUAACCACAACAUUGAGAGUUAGGGUGAAGCUGAUAAUUAUGGAAAUGAGAUUUUGGCUUGUUUGUCGAGGUUGAUAUGACCCCACUUGACUAAAGCUCGCCCUUUGCUUGAGCCACCUUGUCUGUAUAUAGUGUGUGCUUGUUUGCUUAUUUGUGAACCUUUCAUGUGUUUGCAUUUGCAUGUUUGUUUUAAGGAGUUAGAUGUAAGUCCAUUUAUUGGCAUUCUGUUUCCUGUUUAUUUGUUUUGAGGAGUUAAAUCUAAGUGCAUAUAUUGGCAUUUUGUUUCCCGUUUGUUGUUUGGAGUUGGAUGUAAGUCCAUUUAUUGGCAUUCUGUUUCCUUGGAGUUGAGUGUAAGUCCAUUUAUUGGCAGCUUAUUUCCUUUUAUUGUGGUUCUCUUGUGAGACUUAUCUGUUUACUUUUUGCUUUUGCCUUAUUCCAAAGGAACUUACUUGGAUCAUCUCUAUGAUCUCGAGAAAGGAACUCCUGUUGUGGUUUAUCCCUAACCAUCACCCUUAACCUUUUCAUUUCAUCUUUCACCCAAACCAAAAACUUUUGUGCAAACAUUUGACUUGUUUUCAAAAACUAGAAACCUAAGCCCUAGGCUUUUGAUUUUCAAACUUUCUUUUCAUAAUACUCAUUGUAAAUGAACUCUAAUUCAUACUUUGACCUCAUUUUGUGAAUACUCUAAUUGGUUAAUUCAACCCAUUCAAAUGCUUCUUUUGCUUAGGUUUUCUAGUUUUUGAACAAGUCAAAUGUUUGCCACAAAAGUUUUUGGUUUGGGUGAAAGAUGAAAAGAAAGGUAAGGGUGAUGGUUAGGGAUAAACCACAACAGGAGUUCCUUUCUCGAGAUCAUAGAGAUGAUCACGUAAGUUCCUUUGGAUAUAGGCAAAAGCAAAAGUAAAAGAUAGUCUCACAAGAGAACCACAAUAAAGAGGAAUAAGCUGCAUAAAUGGACUUCACUCAACUCCAAGGAAACAGAAGCCAAUAAAUGGACUUACAUCCAACUCCAAACAACAAACGGGAAAAAAAUGCCAAUAUAUGCACUUAGAUUUAACUCCUCAAAACAAAUAAACAGGAAACGAUGCCAAUAAAUGGACUUAACUCUAAUCCUUAAAACAAACAUGCAAAUGCAAACACAUGAAAGGUUCACAAUAAAGCAAACAGCACACACAUAUACAGACAAGGUGGCUCAAGCAAAGGGCGAGCUUAGUCAAGUGGGGUCAUAAUCAACCUCGACAAACAAGCCAAAUUGUUCAAAGGUAUUUGUAGCUCUUAACCAUAACAUUGAGAGUUAGGGUGAAGCUGAUAAUAUGGAAAUGAGGAUGAGACCUCAUGCUCUUAACCCUGGCCUGGGUGAGCUUAACGAUAAUGAAAGGNUGUUUUCAAAAACUAGAAACCUAAGCCCUAGGCUUUUGAUUUUCAAACUUUCUUUUCAUAAUACUCAUUGUAAAUGAACUCUAAUUCAUACUUUGACCUCAUUUUGUGAAUACUCUAAUUGGUUAAUUCAACCCAUUCAAAUGCUUCUUUUGUGGUUUCAAUGACCAUGUUCUUAAUCAAAUUCUUUCAUAACCUUUAGCUAUUAGGUUUGAGUUAUCUUUGUGGUAGAUAUAAUACUCACCUCUAUCCUUAGUGAUUGAAUUGUAAGACUUCCAUGCUUAUUAUAAGGUUAACCCCUCACUAGCAUGCCGAAGCUAUUCUCACAUGGUGGACUUGUGGUUUUUCAGGUCGAGUUUUCUCCCUUUGAUAACAAAAGACCUUAAGGCUUUUGGACCAAUCAACCCACUCAUUUGUUUUCGAAAUCUUUUAGCCGAACUACGAGGUUUUGAUCCUAUUCUUUUUAUAAGAAGGUACGUAGGCAAUGGGUUCAUCCAUCCAAACACAAAAAUGUAAAUAAACUUGUACAUUCUCUUCUCAUCUCUUCAAUCAUGUUUGCACAAAUAAAUUUCAUAAACAAUAACCUUUGCAACAAGUUGUGAAAAGGGCUCCCUAGGAGUACCUAGGAUGUUGUGGGUGUCUAACACCUUCCCAUGACAUAACCAACCCCCUUACCCAGAUCUCUGACAUUUUUAUUAGUUUUUGAUUUGAUAAAACUUCUCGGUUUUUGUUUGCUUUCUAACCUUUCCUUUGGAUAAAUAGAAGUGUCUAACACCUUCCCAUGACAUAACCAACCCCCUUACCCAGAUCUCUGACAUUUUUAUUAGUUUUUGAUUUGAUAAAACUUCUCGGUUUUUGUUUGCUUUCUAACCUUUCCUUUGGAUAAAUAGAAGUGCGGUGGCGACUCGACUUUGUAUGAUUUACCUUGGAUUUAGUCAAUAUCUCCAAUGGUAACGAAUACACCGCUACAGUCACAUGUCUUAUGUUUGUAACUUCAAAGUGUCCUAGUAAUCGUGUUGCAGUCAAAAAGUAUUUCAACAUACUCCCCUUGAUGCACUUAUAUUCGCAUGUGACUUGCUUUAUCAUCAAUUUCGAGUCUCCCCUCACUUCGAUUCGACUGGCUCCCAACUCUUUCAAAAGCUGAAGGCCAACUAUUAAGGCUUCGUAUUCGGAUUUGUUGUUGGAACACUUCUUAUUAAUCAUAUACUUAAACUUCGUCGGACCUACCUGAGGGGAUAAUAUCAAAACCCCGAUUGCAUAGUGGAAAAAUGACGUCUCCUAGACCCCACGAAGAAACGUCUUCGGCGGGAGACACAACGACACCCCAGGCCGCUGGCACCGGCUCUAGUAUGGCUUCGACGAUUUCAACAUCAUUUGUAGGACCAAUUCUGACACCGUGUCAGCCACAAACACUGACACCGACAACCAUGGGAACUAUGGGGCAACAUAUGCCCAGUUACACAACUAUCAUACACAGAACAUUGGGAAUAUCGACAAAGUUUAUGGCAAACAUGCAUAACCUCGGCUCGACUUACACUGAUACCUCGUCAUCUCCAUUCCCUCGUUAUCAUGGGUUUGGACCUUUGGCAACCCCAUUUAGUCAACCCCUAGGGUUCGGAUUGACGUCUCAAUCAGCCCCAACGUUGACAUCAAGCUCCGUUGUCGUUAUGAGACAACAAAUGGAUGAAAGUAACCAUGAAAUGGUACAUAUGCUAACUCAGCAAAUGGGUACUAUUUUAAGGCCCUUGAUCCAGAAUUUGAUGCAGAGCUAUCAACAGUUGACGACUCAAAUGACCAGGAUUUGAGACUUUUUAGGAGCUCCAAAGGCUCAAGUGCAUCAAAAUCCCACGCCUCCUCCUCGACCAGAGACUCCAGUUCGACAAGAGGAGAUGACAAAUGAUAUUGUCUAACAAGAAUACCAGGAGUUUGAACACAUCCCAAGGGUGGCACGAAGGCCCCCCUGUGAUACUGGUUAACCGUAACCAGGAUCCCGACCAGGUGGUUUGACAAGUUCGACACGACGCAACCAUAAGGGAACAAAACCUAGAGGCUAUCGUCAAAUGAAUCAUAGUGCAAAACGGAGUAAGUCCUUGUCUCCAACGAUCGACAUACUCCUCACCUCUUCCAGAUUUUGUCUUACAGACAAAAAAACCAAGGGGUUGGAAAGUCCCUAAAUUUACUAAGUUUGCGGGGGAUACUAAAGAAUCCAUCGUCGAACAUGUGGCGAAGUACCAGACCGAGGCUGGUGACAUAGAAAACAACGAGGACUUGAAGUUAAAAUACUUCCCAAGAUCUCUCACGAAAAAUGUCUUUACCGGGUUGACAGCACUACCUCCACAGUCGAUCCAAACAUGGACAUAAUUGGAACGGUUGUUCCAUGAACAAUUUUACAUGGGACAAUCAAAGAUGAUCCUUAAGGAACUAGCUAGCGUUAAGAGAAAGGUCGUUGAGUCAAUUGAUCAGUACCUGAACAGGUUCAGACUAUUGAAGGCACGAUGCUUUACUCAAGUCCAUGAACACGAACUAUUCGAAAUGGAGGCUGAAGGUCUAGAUUAUUCUAUAAGGAAGAAGCUGGACACCUAGUAUCUUAGGGAUAUGACCCAAUUGGCCAAUAGGGUUCGACGUAUCGAACGCUUGAAAGCCAAAAAGUCUAAGGCGGGUUGAUAUCAGAAAAAAGAGAAAGUGUCCCACAUCGCAGUCGAAGGAGGGUCUUCCGACGACGAAGAUAUAGUCGACAUGAGUGAGGUCAACAUGGCGGAAAUUAAGCUCGGACCUCCAUAUACGUGCAAUCCGACGACGAAGAUAUAGUCGACAUGAGUGAGGUCAACAUGGCGGAAAUUAAGCUCGGACCUCCAUAUACGUGCAAGGUUUUGAAACCAUCGAAUGGGAAAAACCCUGUCGAACCAGAGAGAACAGACAAAUACGUCACUAAGACAUAUACGUUCGACGUGUUUAAAUGUGACGAGAUCUUUGAUCUAUUGGUAAAAGACAGACAAAUUAUCGUCCCUCGGGGUUUAAAAGACCCUCCCCUAGAACAGAAAAAGAAAAAAAUGGAUUUUGUAAAUUUCAUAAUGUCCUUGGUCACAAAACUCACCAAUGUGUUCUUUUCAGGGAUUUGCUGCAGAAAGCUCUGAAAGAAGGCUCUAGUUUGGCGAAAGGCCAAAAAUGCAGGUGGAUUCUGACCCUUUGAAGAUGGAAGAAGCACUGUAUGAUGAGCCUCUAGAGUGCAUGAUGGUGGAGACCACUAAUGGUCUCAUUGAGGUUCUCAAAGCAACCUCGUUAGCUGAAUCAUGUGAAGUAAUGAUUGUCGAAACUACUAAAGGUUUCAGAGUCAAAGACGAAAGGAGGCCCGAGUCGGCCUAUCUCCAGCUUGGCGAAAGUUUGCCUGACUUCCAGGAGAAGUGCAAGGAGAAAGGAUCAAAGGCUCUGUUAUGCCCGAAGUGUAGCGUGAUAUUCGACGAGAAAACCUCCAAAAGAUUGGAGGCCGAUAACAAGGUCGAGAAGGAGGAAAAGCCUGAUGUCCCACGAUUCGUGUUCGAUAGGCACAUAGCACCUCGGCGGAACGAAGAGUACAGAAGAGUCGAACCACCUGGUCGGGAUCCUGGUUAUAGUUAACCAAUACCACGGGGGGCCUUCGUUCCACCCUUGGGACCUUUACAGUGUUAAGUUAUAUGCGAUUGUGCAGUGGAAAAAUGAAGUCUCCUAGACCCCACGAAGAAACAUCUUCGACGGGAGACACAGCGACGCCCUAGGCCGCUGACACUGGCUCUAGUAUGGCAUCCACGGUUUCAGCAACGUUUGUAUGACCAAUUCUGACGCCGUGUCAGCCACAAACACCGACACCGACAACCAUGGGAACUAUGGGGUAACAUAUGCCCAGUUACACGACUCCCAUACACAAAAUGUUAGGAAUGUCGACAUUGCGCUUUCUUACACAUCAUUUCCGAAAAACCUCAAAACUCUGAUUCAUUUCCCCAAUGGCUUCCUCAACUCUUGCGAAAGACACUGUCUCUUAUGGUACUGACCAUAACCCUAUCGCCUUCAAGCUUACUGCUAAAGAAGGGAUGAAAAGUAUUCCUCAACCUUCAUCAUCUAAUGAAGGAACUCUCAAGAAUUGGCAAAACCAGUUGGUGAUCCCGUUCGUGGUGGACAAAAAACUGUUGGCUUUCCAUGGUCCCCUUGUUGAUGCUAAAUUUUCCCCAACAAAGGCUGCACCCUUCUUUCUCGGGUAUAAACCCGCUAUGCCUCCUGCCUUCAACAGAUUUGUCUCCCUUGAUGUUAGAUUCAUGGAGGCAAAAGUUAGAGUUUUUCUCUCCAUGCCCACUCCUGGCAACAAGGAGUACUUGGCUUGGCUCAACAAGGUCCAGCGCAAGCGUCAAGACCAGUGGAGGAGUGUUAGGAUUUUCGACCUUAUUCAGGUCUCGAGGUACGCUCAUCACGUUAACCCCCGCAUGUUGUUGGCGUCCCUUUACUUUUGGGAGGGUUCGACCAACACCUUCCAGCUACCAUGUGGGAUGCUAACACCCACUCUCUUCGACGUGGCGACAAUUACCGGCCUCUCACCCUUGGGAGAGACUUUCGACCCAACUCUUAAGACCGAGAAUACCUUCACGUUUGGUCGGUCCAGCCUCAAGAAUUAUAUCGAAGACCAUCAUAACAAAAACACUGUCGAAGUGUCUGACCAAGAGCACAUAACUUUUUUCACCCUGUGGCUCUCCUAUUAUGUCCUCUGUCCUGGAUCCCUGCAGAUAGCCAAGAGUUAUAUUGCCCUGGCGAUCCAGAUACAUGAGGGUCGACAAAUAUCAUUGGGCAAACUUUUGCUAGCAUCUCUGUACCAGGCCCUGGGGCGGGCAACCCUGAAGCUGAAACUCCUCGCCAACACCCCCAAAUCCCUUAACUUGGCGGGUCCUCUUCGAAUUCCUCAUCAAACUGAGGGGAAUAUUCAGGUUCUUCUAAAUUUUAAGUAGUGGUGAAAACACCUUUGUUUUACCACUUAGGUUCGAGAUGAACCUUCUUAGGAAGUUUAUUUUCCCCAACAAAGACGAGAGAUAUUUCUUUGUAGAUGGGCUUUUGAGGUCUAAGACCGCCUUCGAUCCAAACCUAUACACAAAAUGUCUCUGUAUUAAUUCGAUCACCGCCACCUGGUCCACCUUUACCAGAGGUAUAGCUUUGACCCAUUUGGUGAAGUAGUCUAUCCCGACUAGGAUAAACUUCUGUUGCUUCGACGAAGCCGGUCGAAUUUUUCCAAUGAUGUCUAAGGCCCACCCCCUAAAAGGCCAUGGUUUGAUAAUAACAUGCAACUCACUUGUCUACAUAUGUUGGAUCCCCGUGUGCUUUUGACAUUCCUGACAUCCUUUGGCAAACUCGAUGCAAUCUUUCAACAUGCUGGGCCAGUAAACCCCUUGUCAGAACAAUAACCAUUUCAUCUUAUGGUCUGCCUGGUAGGCGCCAUAGGCCCCACUGUGUACUUCGUAGAUGGAUCAAUACACUUCGGUAUCUCCCAGGCAUUUGAGUAGUAACCCUUAUGGUGUCUUCUUUAGCAAUCCGUUGCCUAACCACACGUAGCUCAAAGCCCUAUAUUUGGUUUUUCUGUCAGUACUUCCGACUGGAUUCUCCAAGUAGUCGAUGAUUGACUUUCUCCAAUCUGUCGGUGAUGAACUGUUGAUAGAAAAAACUUUAUGUUCCCAUGCCUCUUCGAUUCCACGGGUUUUUUUGACACUCUUCAUCGGGCUCCCCACCACGACUGACGUUCUCGUCGAGGACGUCUUCUGUUGGGGGCAUGCUUAACAUCAUUUUUCCUUGAGCCUCGAUCAUAUCUUGUAACUUCAUCUUAGACAUCGUAUACCCUGAAGCGACUUGGGCCAGCUCGUUGGCCUCUUGGUUCUCACUUCUGGGCACAUGUCUUAUGGUCGUAACUUCAAAGUGUUCUAGUAACCACAUUGCAGUCACAAAGUAUUUUAGCAGACUCCCCCUGAUGCACUUAUAUCCGUGCGUGACUUGCUUAAUUAUCAACUCUGAGUCUCCCCUCACUUUGAUUUCACUGGCUCCCAACUCUUUCAAAAGCUGAAGGCUGACUAUUCUGCUUCGUUGUUGGAACACUUCUCAUUGAUCUUAUACUUAAACUUCGUCGGACCUACCUGAGGGGAUAAUAUCAAAACCCCGACUCUUGUUUCGUCUUUGUGACUCGAUCCAUCGAAAUAUAGAUGCCAUGGUGUGGUGUCGACCACAUUCAGGGAUGAUUCGACCAUGCCAUGACCCAUUAUAAAAUCCGCCACGAUCUGGCCUUUCAUGGCUUUUAAAGGCUUGAAAGUUAGAGAAAACUUUGUCAACGCCAGUGUUCAUUUCCCAAUUCUACUAUGUAGAAUAAGCUUAGACAACAUAUGUUUAAUAAUAUCGUAAUGAGAUGAAACAUAAACAUCAACUAGUUUAAUAUACUAUUUUAAUUCCAUACAGGAAAAGUACAAACACAUACAUAGUUUUUCUAUGAGACUGUGCCUAGUUUCAGCAUCUACCAACAUUCUACUGAGGUAAUAUAUGAGCCUUUCGACACCAUUAUAAUCCUCUUGGGCUAACAUGCUCCCUAUAGUUGUAUCAAAUAUAGUAAUAUAUAAACUCAUACUUUUAUUUCUACUGGAGGGCAACAGGAUAUGAGGCUUGGUAAGAUACCCAUUGAUCGUGUCGAAAGCCUCCUGUUGUUCAGGGCCCCAGUGAAAAUCACUUUCCUUCUUAAUUUUGUGUAGUGGCGAAAACACCUUUGUUUUACCACUUAGGUUCGAGAUGAACCUUCUUAGGAAGUUUAUUUUCCCCAACAAAGACUGAAGUUGUUUCUUUGUAGAUGGGAUUUUGAGGUCUAAGAUCGCCUUCGUCUUGUUCUAAUUGAUCUCUAUACCUCGUUUAUGUACCACAAAUCGCAGGAAGUCACCUGCGUGUACCCCAAAAGCACACUUCAAUGGAUUCAUUUUCAAUCCAUAUUUCCUUAUUCUAUCAAACGAGCGUCAAAGGUGAUUCUGGUUUCCUUCUUGAGAUGAUGAUUUCACCAUGAUAUUGUCGAUAUAUACCUGCAUGAACUUCUCAAUGAAGUCAUGAAAGAUGGCAUUCAUGGCCCUUUGGUAAGUUUCUCCUGCGUUUUUUAAACCAAACGGCAUGACAACCCACUCAUAUGUCCCCAGCACACCAGGGCAUCGAAACGCUGUCUUGGGGACAUCUUCUUCGGCAAUGAGAAUCUGAUUGUAGUUGGAGUAUCCAUCAAGUAGGCUCAGAUACUCAAAACCUGCGGCCGAUUCGACCAACAUUUCCGCCACCGGCAUCGAAUAUUCAUCCUUUGGCGCGGUGUUGUUUAGAUCUCUGAAAUCUAUACAAAUCCUAAGAGUUCCUUUUUUCUUGAUGACAGGAACUAUGUUGGCCAACCAUUCGACGUACCUUGUCGUUCUGAUGAAGCGACUUUUUAGGAGUCUUUCAAUUUCUUGCUUGAUCUUUGAAGUAACAUUCAGAGCUAAUCUUUGAGGGUGUUGCUUCACCGGCUUCUUCCCAGGUUAGAUAGGCAGUCGGUGUUCUACUAUGCUUCGAUCCAAACCUGGCAUUUUGUCAUAAUCCAAGGCAAAGCAAUCCUUGUAUUCAGUCAAUAACUCGACUAGAUUUUCCUUCAUUUAUGACCCCACCUUAGUACUUAUGUAGGUUGGUCUUUUUGUGGUUCCAUUUCCCAGGUCGAUCUCUUCGAGGGGAUCUUGCGCUUGCAUCUUCUGGGACUCAUUUUAUGGGUUCUUUUCGAACCCCAAAGGCUUAUUGUCAUAGAUACAAUUAAGCCUCCAUCUUUCUGAAGCUGUUGUCUCAUCUAGUCGACCAUCAUCUAGACUUUUGGCCUCACCGGCCAAAUUAUGGAGUCUCUUCCUUUCUAGAAUUGACUUCCUCUUGUUUUAAGCCAAAUAUGCCAAAAUUCGAGUCAGGCUUUCUGACUCAACAGUCAUCUUUGUCGACUGAUGGCCACCCCGUAGGUGGAAUUCCUGUCUCUGAUCAUGUGUCUUCCUCGUUAUCCCAAAUGAAACCAUGAUCAGGGUCCAAGUUCAGAACUCGACCAGUAUUGACGGAAAUAUAGGAUCAUGAUUCGUCAUCACAUGGCGCUAUGUUCACCAAAUGUUGGUCAAACGACCUCUUAGAACCCCUGUCAUCGACCCGCUAAUAGCUUUGGUCGACUUCAAUAUUCUCUAUGAUGCCGUCUUUUCUACAGAUUAUAAGCGUUUGGUGGACCGUUGAGGGAACAACCCCUAUCUCAUGGAUCCAUUCUCGACCCAGGAGUAAGUUGAAGUUGGCUUUUGAAUCUGUUACCAUAAAUAGUGUUGAACAUGUUGUGGUUCCUACCACAAGGUCGACCUAUACCACCCCCAUUAUAUUGAUGGUUUUUCCUUCAUAAUUUGAAAGGACCAUGUUGGGGAGAAUACUCCGGCUCCUCCUCCUCCUUCAAUUUUUCUUUGCUUCGUGGCUGUCCCUCGAUCUCUAACGAACAUUCCACGUUCUGAGUAGCUAUCAUUGCCUUCUUUCCCGUCGAGUCGGCGGUCAUGGCCACUGUCUGGUUGGCCACCAUUUUUGCAAGUCCCUUGAUCUUUGACAUUUGUUCCUUUUGCCCAGCAGUCUCCGAAGUCUUUGACUGUGGGGUGGUAACAACUUUCCCAGCUUUUUUGUUUCGCUGGUGGUGUCUCCACUGUGUCCUAGUCAUAAGAUUAUUUCCUUUGUAUUUAGGAGAGAUUGUGUAACCUCUCCUCUUCUUUGGAGACGUUGCCUCUUUUUCCAACACCCUCCAUUUUGGCUUCUUGCCCCCUUCUGCUUGACAGAUUCUAUCCACUUCUCUUGUGGAACAUCAGUUGGAGGAAUUAAUGUCUUCGGGAAGUGACGUUGAAAUUGUCUUCUGUACUCUUCGUUCUGCCGAGGUGCUCUGUGCCUGUCAAACACGAAUCGUGGGACAACAAAAUUUUCCUCCUUCUCGACCUUGUUAUCGGCCUCCAGUCUUUCGGAGGUUUUCUCGUCGAAUAUCAUGCUGCACUUCGGGCAUAAUAGUGCCUUUGGUCCCUUCUCCUUGCACUUUUCCUAGAAGUCUGACAAACUUUCUCCAGGCUGGGGAUAGGCCGACUCGAGCCUCCUUUCAUCUUUGACUUUGAAACCUUCAGUAGUUUCGACCAUCAUUACUUCACAUGAUUCAGCUAAUGAGGUUGCUUUGAGAACCUCAAUGAGUCCACCAGUCGUCUCCACCAUCAUGCACUCUAGAGUCUCAGUAUACAUUGCUUCUUCCACCUUCAAAGGGUCAGAAUCCACCUGCAUUUUUGGCCUUUCACCAAACUGGAACCUUCCUUCUUUCAGAGCUUUCUGCACUAAAUCCCUGAAAAGACACAUCGAUGAGUUUUGUGACCAAUGAAAUUAUGUCCGUCUUUUACCAAUAGAUCAAAGAUCUCGUCACAUUUAGACACGUCGAACGUAUAUGUCUUAGUGACGUAUUUUUCUGUUCUCUCUGGUUCGACAGGGUUUUUCCCAUUCGAUGGUUUCAAAACCUUGCACGUAUAUGGAGGUCCGAGCUUAAUUUCCGCCAUGUUGACCUCACUCAUGUCGACUAUAUCUUCGUCGUCGGUUUGCACGUAUAUGGAGGUCCGAGCUUAAUUUCCGCCAUGUUGACCUCACUCAUGUCGACUAUAUCUUCGUCGUCGGAAGACCCUCCUUCGACUGCGAUGUGGGACACUUUCUCUUUUUUCUGAUAUCGACCCGCCUUAGACUUUUUGGCUUUCAAGCGUUCGAUAAGUCGAACCCUAUUGGCCAAUUGGGUCAUAUCCCUAAGAUACUAGGUGUCCAGCUUCUUCCUUAUAGAAUAAUCUAGACCUUCAACCUCCAUUUCGAAUAGUUCGUGUUCAUGGACUUGAGUAAAGCAUCGUGCCUUCAAUAGUCUGAACCUGUUCAGGUACUGAUCAAUUGACUCAACGACCUUUCUCUUAACGCUAGCUAGUUCCUUAAGGAUGAUCUUUGAUUGUCCCAUGUAAAAUUGUUCAUGGAACAACCGUUCCAAUUAUGUCCAUGUUUGGAUCGACUGUGGAGGUAGUGCUGUGAACCAGGUAAAGACAUUUUUCGUGAGAGAUCUUGGGAAGUAUUUUAACUUCAAGUCCUCGUUGUUUUCUAUGUAACCAGCCUCGGUCUGGUACUUCGCCACAUGUUCGACGAUGGAUUCUUUAGUAUCCCCCGCGAACGUAGUAAAUAUAGGGACUUUCCAACCCCUUGGUUUUAUUGUCUGUAAGACAAAAUCUGGUAGAGGUGAGGAGUAUGUCGGUCGUUGGAGACAAGGACUUACUCCGUUUUGCACUAUGAUCUAUUCGAUGAUAACCUCUAGGCUUUGUUCCCCUAUGGUUGCGUCGUGUCGAACUUAUUGAACCACCUGGUCGGGAUCCUGGUUACGGUUAACUAGUACCACGGGGGGCCUUCGUGCCACCCUUGGGAUAUGUUCAAACUCAUGGUAUUCUUGUUUGACAGUAUCGUCUGUCAUCUCCUCUUAUCGAACUGACACUUCCAGAGUUUAAUUUGAGUUUUAGUAGUUAGGGUUCAUGAUACAAUUUGUUCCGGUUAGAUUUUUGGGAGAGUCUUUGGUUAAAAUUGAGGUCGGAUUUAGAGAGAGCACGAUGAGGAGGUUGUUUUGAUGGCUCAGUUUUGGAUUUUGGUGGCCACCACCGCCGGGAGCGAUGGCCGACAUGGUGGCCCACAAAAGAGCUCUGUUUUAGGACUUGACGUUGAAGGGCGUGUUUUACUGAAGAUUUCAAAAAUACAUUGGACUUCAUUCAUUUGGUUGGUGGGAUUUGCCUCCUCCUAGCCCAGUGAAAUUCCCCGUUUUCCAUUUGCACCCCCAGAGCCAAGACCAUCUUGCAGUUUUCCUUGGAUUGAAGGCCCAUGCGUCAUGGGUCAAAGUACCACCCCUUUCCAAUUCCUUGCACCCCUUCGCGCAUUUGGCAACAACGAAUGGGCCUCCGCCCUGAGGCCCAACCCUGAAUCUGUUUUUUACACCCCCGUUGUUGUAGCUCUUAGACCGAUUGGGCUUCUGUGCAUCAAGACCCUUCCCAGCAUCUACAUAUUGGGCCCGCACCCCCAUUUUCGUUGCUUGGGGCCCAUUUCCAAUAGGAUUAGGUUAGUUUAGUUAACUUUUUGAGUUAAUUAGUUUUUUUUAUGGUUUAAUUAGAAAAUAUAAUUAGUCAAAUUGUUAGGACUUAAUGAGUAAUUAGUUUUUUAGUCUUAGUUCUUUUAGAAAUUAGGACUUAAUUAUAUUUUUUAGAAAAUAUAUUUUUGAUUAGUUAAUUAAUUUUGGAAAAUUAGAAUUAACUAGGAUUAAUUAGACCUUAGUUGCCUUUAGAAUUUUGUUAAUUUCUAAAAAUGAAGUUUUAAGACUUAAUUAAAUUUUAGGUUCUAGUUUUGAAUUUUAAUUAGAAUCUAAAUUUUGUUCCUAAUUGGUAUUUCAGGCAAAAUGACUAUUCUAUCCCUUAGGGGUUAUUUUGGUAUUUUAACCAUAUAAUUGUGUGUUUCCUUAGCAUUCUAACAUAGAAUUUUUAAUCAAGAUUUUAAUCAAUAUUAACAUGCUCCCUUAGAUUAGUUUGAUUAAUACUAACCAUUAGAUUAGGUCAUAAUCUAGUUUCCUAAAUCAUUUCAAACUCUCUGAUUCAAAUUGAUCAAAAGCAAUUUUGAUCAAUCAAAUCCUUUGAACUUGUAUAAUCCCACAGUAUAAAUUGAGUGACCAAAAGACCCUUGGUCACUUAAUAAGACUUUUAUUCUAAACUAUUGAGCUCAAAGCCUCAAGUCAAGAUCUUCAAUCAAGACAUUCUCAGUCAUACCAAGCAGCGGAUUAUACAAGAUAAAUCAAAGGUCAACACUUGGUGAACAUGAUUCAAAUUGUACGAAACGAGCCUUAAGUAAUAGGGAAUGACGAGACAUAGUCUCUCAUAUCCUCGUCUAGAGCGACUUUGUAUAUGGGGUGUAGGCCCCAAAUAAUCAAAGCGUUCACCCUUAUUCAUAGACUUUAGUGCAAUUCGAAUCGAUUAAACUACCAAGUAUUCUUCAUGCAAACACAACAUCAACACAUGGAUCAAUAAUGAAGAUUCUUCACCAGUAACUUGUUAGUUAAGAGAAGUAUCAUGUGCUACGAGCCUUAAGUAAUAGGGAAUGACAAGACAUAGUCUCUCCUAUCCUCGUCUAGAGCGGCUUUGUGUAGGGGGCGUAGGCCCCAAAUAUUCAAAGUGUUCGCCCUUAUUCAUAGACUUUAGUAUGAUUCCUAUCAAUCGACUAUCAGGUCUCUCAAUUUAUUUCUCUAUUCUAAUCACUUCAAAUCUAGUCAUUCAAUCAUAUUAUUUUGCCCUCAAUCAUCCUUGUUUUCAGCCCUAGUGGGAUGAACUAUGAAAACUCUGAUUUCCUUAUUGUACUAUAAGGAUACGUAGGCAGGAGAACCCAGUUUCUUCGCGAGCUACCCUGUUUAUCAGUCAAUCAUUCUUCAUUCAUUAAAUCUAUACCAUCUUUUUGAGAUCCAUCAUAUUUCUCCUUGGACUCCUUGUUUAUCCUUUUGGGAUGUCUUAACGACAAUCCAUCUCCUCAAUCAAGAGUUGUUUGGGACUAUGCCCAAACACUUAAUUCAAUCUUUCUUUUUGGCUUUACCCUAUAGUGGCGGUCUUACUAGUCCACGUAUGGGUGAAUACCUACCUUGCUCUUCGAUUCAGAGUCUAUCUCCUUCUUGGAUCCAAAAUACUCUCCUCCAUUGAUCUCGAAUUGUUUGUUCCCCAUCCAGUGAUACAUUAUUACUUAUACCAUACAAUAUUGAAAUCAUUCCUUGAAUUGGUGUUUGUCUUGUGAGUCCCCCGUCGCUUAGACAAAUCUCUCUCUCUCUCUCUCUCUCUCUCUCUCUCUCUCUCUCUCUCUCUCUCUCUCUCUCUCUCCUUAUUUCAUGGCAGUUAACCUUUUGAUAUUCUCUCUCUCUCUCUCUCUCUCUCUCUCUCUCUCUCCUUAUUUCAUGGCAGUUAACCUUUUGAUAUCAUUCUAUUGGUAUAAGUUAUACUUUUCAUCACUGUAUGCCUAUCUCUUUAUUCUCGUGGUUCCGAACUACGAUUGCUCUGACUUUCUCAUUUCACAAUGAGAAUACGUAGGCACGAGGAUGCAAAUCCUUGGCGAACAUAUGUCUAAUUAUUCCUCCUUCCGCCUUAGGGCACCAUUCAUAUCUUUCACUAUUUGUUAUCUACCUUCGAUCAUAAAUCAUUCACCCAGUGACAUAUUAUUCGUUUGACAUCGAAAUACACUUUCUUUGGAAUUCCAUACAGACCCUUUUAGGACGUAUAAAAUAGUAUGCAUUUCUACCUAGGGCUACACCCUCAAACACUUAAUUCCUCCUUUUUUGGCUAAACACCCUAUAGUGGUGGUGCUACUAGUCCACAUAUCGGUUACAGUUGUUUCCCUCUAUGGUACAAAUCCCAUUUCUCUUAUGGAUUCUAUCAUACCCCAAUUUUGUCCGGGCAUAUUUAAAUUUUUGUAAAUCUGACUUCAUUUUUUAAUUUGCAUCAUAUGCACAGCGUGGCAUGCAUUUCAUCAUUAAUAAUACCUGAAAUAUCAGUCAAAAUAAGUUUAUUGAGAAUACAGACAAAUUGGUUAAAUCGUUUCUCAAGAACAUGCAAAAUCAGCGGGUAAAAAGUUUCAAAUUUAAAAUUGAAGACACCAGUAUUAUUAAUCUAUUGUUCACGUAGUUUAACCUGGUGUGCUCGUUGUAUUUUUCAGCGACUGUUUCGAUUGCAUUUUGACCCGCCUGAGCCUUUUAACCGGUGCAAAUUUAUUUCAGAAUUUGAAGAAACACUAUAUUUUUUAAUAAGUAUAUUUUUGUGCUGAUUAUUUUAGUGUGCCUGAUUUAAUUUUCCAAGCAAAUUUAUAUCCGGCUUAUAUUUAUAAUCGGUAACUAUUUUUAUUAGGUUAAUUGUUUAACUAAAAUAAUUAGUGUAAAUAAUCAUAAUUAUUGUUGAAUUUAUUUUGAUUUUGCUUAAUUAUUAAUUCUAUUUUUAUUAGGUUAAUUGUUUAACUAAAAUAAUUAGUGUAAAUAAUCAUAAUUAUUGUUGAAUUUAUUUUGAUUUUGCUUAAUUAUUAAUUUUUAAAGCAUAGUGAAAAGAAGAUUAAAAAAAAUGUGAAUUUAGAUUUAUUCAUAAAAAUAUUUCUCAAUCUGAAAAAAAUGGAUAAGAAGGAACAAAUUUGGUGAAUUUUGAGGAUCCAAUAGCAGAGUGACACGUGUCACUCUUCACAGCCAAAAACGCGUCUCACUCCCAAGAUUCUCUCUCUUGCUGCCACCUACCUCACUCAACAUCUCUCUCCAUUACCUCGCGUGUCACUCACUACUAAUGACCUGUCCCUCUCUCAACGUCUGGGGACUCACACCUACCACCUCCCAAUACCUCUCACCACUCAUAACCUCACAAAUUCUGAUUCACACUCUCUUGCUCUCACAAUCACUAUUCAUCAACUCUCUCAAUGUUAACACAAAAGAAAGAAAAUAAAAACCUUUUCUUCCUCAUCGUCAACCCGCCGUCUCAACGGCACCUCACAACCUAAAACGCGACCGGCAAUAAGAAAAUAAAAACCUUUUCUUCCUCAUCGUCAACCCGCCGUCUCAACGGCACCUCACAACCUAAAACGCGACCGGCAACAUCACAACCACACAUCCGCCGUUUCCGUCGCUCAACUCACAAACGCAUAACCUCCCUCCAUCAUCCUCCAUCUUCCGCUCACAAAUCCACCACCGAUCUAGUCUACCACCACAUAAAUCUCAACCACCCGUCACCACCGCCACCGCUCGCACAACUUUCAAACCCUCCUUCGACAACUUCGACCAGAUCCAUAAAAACACAGCCGCUCAACAUCUUCAUCAACCCCCAAAAUCGUCGGCGAACCUCCACCGUGCAACCCUCUUCGCGACCUCCGUUUCCAUCAAUAGCACCAUCGUUCUCCCUCUGAACCGUCCCUCACCACAAAGCAACAAUAGAAGCAACUUUCCUUUUCGUCUUCAAACCAACACAGCAAAUCUGUCGCCGACAAAACAACUUAAAGAUUCCAGUACAACACAACACCUCGAUUUCUAUUGGAGCAGCACAAGACGACAACUCCGGUAUGGUUUUCGAUGCGAACUCAGACGCAACAAAUCUGCAAUAUCAACGGACCACUCGAUUGCAGUAACUCAGCAACAACAACUUGGUUUCAACAUCAUUUAGUUGCCACAAACUUCCGGCGACAAUUGUGUUUUGGUUUGGUAACAUUUCCGAUCUAAUGACUUCAUUUUUUAUGUUACAUCCUGUUAUGAGUUUUCAAGUCCGUCCUGUUAUGAGUUUUCGAGUCCAAUUCAUCUGCUGUUUGUUGCUUCAGUGUGUGUUUUAAAAUUUUGUUUGGUUUUUACAUUGUUCUAUUUUGAAAAAUAUUAAGUAAGUUUGUUCUUGAAUAAGUGGAUUGAUUGAUACAUCUAUGGGAUAUAUCAGUAGUUUUAAUUUUUAAGUUAUUGCUAUUCUGCUUUGUUUCGAUAAUGAUCAAGUCAGAAGGGUAAUUGUUGUAGAGUUUGAUUUUGAUCACAUAGAUUUCUUCUAUUCUGUUUCGGUUCAUAUAGGCGAUUUAUGUGUGAAACUGUGUGCUAUUGGUGAUAACGGUUAAGAUCUUCAAUUUGAUUUUGAGCUGCAGCAAAUGAUUUCCUCAUUCUGUCAUAUUGUUUCUUAAACUAUAUUGAAGUUAAAAUUAGUUUCUACCAGGAUAUAAAUCUCAAAGCUUAUUCCAAAUUUUUUGGGUUAAUUAGUCUCUGUUCUAGUUAAAUAGAAUAAUAGGUAAUAUUAAUCCUAACUUUUGUGAUUACAUUAUUGGUGUUAUGGUUAAAUUGUCAAUUAAAUGAUUCAAGAUUGUGUUUGUUCAUAUUGAUGAGUGAGUGUUAAAAGUUGUAACAAUAUUGUUGAUUUUUGACCAUUUAAUAUGAACUCUGUAAAUAUGAUUUGUUUCUAUUGCUUUACAGUAAAUUUGAAAUUUUC